GACUUUGAUGAAAUAAUCAGUUAUGCCAGACAUUUUCAUGCUGAUUUCACUUCAUGAAAAUGAUAAGUGUUCUUACGGGACAAGGAGUUGGGCAGAAUGGGCCAGUACAUGCAUUGCAAAAAGGACACGGAAAGUCUGCUUUGGAGUCCAGCGUGUAACACAGAUUGCAUGACGGAGCCAAGCAUAAUAAGGGAGGAU